rnacentral:rRNA from 1 species
UACGUAGGGGGCAAGCGUUGUCCGGAUUUAUUGGGCGUAAAGAGCUCGUAGGCGGUUCCGUAAGUCGAGUGUGAAAAAUCUGGGCUCAACCCAGUGGAGCACUCGAUACUGCGGUGACUAGAGUACGGUAGAGGAGUGUGGAAUUCCUGGUGUAGCGGUGAAAUGCGCAGAUAUCAGGAGGAACACCGAUGGCGAAGGCAGCUCGCUGGGACGGUACUGACGCUGAGGCGCGAAAGCGUGGGGAGCGAACAGG